rnacentral:tRNA from 1 species
UCUAUACGACUUAUUAAGGUGGCAGAGCCCGGUAAUGUAUAAGACCUAAGAUCUUCUUCCCGAGAGUUCAAAUCUCUCCCAUAAUU